AUACUUACCUGGCAGGGGAGAUACCAUGAUCACGAAGGUGGUUUUCCCAGGGCGAGGCUUAUCCAUUGCACUCCGGAUGUGCUGACCCCUGCGAUUUCCCCAAAUGUGGGAAACUCGACUGCAUAAUUUGUAGUAGUGGGGGACUGCGUUCGCGCUUUCCCCUG
rnacentral:snRNA from 1 species